AAAUCCAACAUCCUGUGAGCACAAGUCCUACAUUGGGUGAGCACGAGACCCACUUUGGGUGAACACAAGCCCCGCCUCAGGUGAGCCCUGCUUCUCUCUCUCUCUCUCUCUCUCUUUCCCUCUUCUCUCUCUGCCCCUCACUCACUUGUGCCCUCUCUCCC